rnacentral:rRNA from 1 species
AGAGUUUGAUCCUGGCUCAGGACGAACGCUGGCGGCGCGCCUAACACAUGCAAGUCGAACGAGAGAGAAGGAGCUUGCUUCUUCGAUCGAGUGGCGAACGGGUGAGUAACGCGUGAGGAACCUGCCUCAAAGAGGGGGACAACAGUUGGAAACGACUGCUAAUACCGCAUAAGCCCACGGGUCGGCAUCGACCAGAGGGAAAAGGAGCAAUCCGCUUUGAGAUGGCCUCGCGUCCGAUUAGCUAGUUGGUGAGGUAACGGCCCACCAAGGCGACGAUCGGUAGCCGGACUGAGAGGUUGAACGGCCACAUUGGGACUGAGACACGGCCCAGACUCCUACGGGAGGCAGCAGUGGGGAAUAUUGCACAAUGGGGGAAACCCUGAUGCAGCGACGCCGCGUGGAGGAAGAAGGUCUUCGGAUUGUAAACUCCUGUUGUUGAGGAAGAUAAUGACGGUACUCAACAAGGAAGUGACGGCUAACUACGUGCCAGCAGCCGCGGUAAAACGUAGGUCACAAGCGUUGUCCGGAAUUACUGGGUGUAAAGGGAGCGCAGGCGGGAAGACAAGUUGGAAGUGAAAUCCAUGGGCUCAACCCAUGAACUGCUUUCAAAACUGUUUUUCUUGAGUAGUGCAGAGGUAGGCGGAAUUCCCGGUGUAGCGGUGGAAUGCGUAGAUAUCGGGAGGAACACCAGUGGCGAAGGCGGCCUACUGGGCACCAACUGACGCUGAGGCUCGAAAGUGUGGGUAGCAAACAGGAUUAGAUACCCUGGUAGUCCACACCGUAAACGAUGAUUACUAGGUGUUGGAGGAUUGACCCCUUCAGUGCCGCAGUUAACACAAUAAGUAAUCCACCUGGGGAGUACGACCGCAAGGUUGAAACUCAAAGGAAUUGACGGGGGCCCGCACAAGCAGUGGAGUAUGUGGUUUAAUUCGACGCAACGCGAAGAACCUUACCAAGUCUUGACAU